rnacentral:rRNA from 1 species
GACGAACGCUGGCGGCGUGCUUAACACAUGCAAGUCGAACGGAAAGGCCCUGCUUGCAGGGUGCUCGAGUGGCGAACGGGUGAGUAACACGUGGGUGAUCUGCCCCUUACUUUGGGAUAAGCCUGGGAAACUGGGUCUAAUACUGGAUAGGACCAUGCUGUAGGUGGUGUGGUGGAAAGAUUAGUUUCGGUAAGGGAUGAGCUCGCGGCCUAUCAGCUUGUUGGUGCGGUAAUGGCCUACCAAGGCGUCGACGGGUAGCCGGCCUGAGAGGGUGGACGGCCACAUUGGGACUGAGAUACGGCCCAGACUCCUACGGGAGGCAGCAGUGGGGAAUAUUGCACAAUGGGCGCAAGCCUGAUGCAGCGACGCCGCGUGGGGGAUGACGGCCUUCGGGUUGUAAACUCCUUUCAGCCAUGACGAAGCCCUUGUGGUGACGGUAGUGGUAGAAGAAGCACCGGCUAACUACGUG